rnacentral:rRNA from 1 species
UACGGAGGGGGCUAGCGUUGUUCGGAAUUACUGGGCGUAAAGCGCACGUAGGCGGAUUUGUAAGUCAGGGGUGAAAUCCCGGGGCUCAACCUCGGAACUGCCUUUGAUACUGCAAGUCUCGAGUCCGAUAGAGGUGAGUGGAAUUCCUAGUGUAGAGGUGAAAUUCGUAGAUAUUAGGAAGAACACCAAUGGCGAAGGCGGCUCACUGGAUCGGUACUGACGCUGAGGUGCGAAAGCGUGGGGAGCAAACAGG